ACGUAGGGGGCAAGCGUUAUCCGGAAUUAUUGGGCGUAAAGAGUGCGUAGGUGGUUUUUUAAGCGUGAGGUGAAAGGCAAUAGCUUAACUAUUGUAAGCCUUGCGAACUGGAAGACUUGAGUGCAGGAGAGGAAAGUGGAAUUCCUAGUGUAGGGGUGAGAGGCGUAGAUAUGAGGAAGAACAACAGAGGCGAAGGCGACAACCAGGACUAUAACUGAGACUGAGGCGGGAAAGCGUUGGGAGCAAACAG
rnacentral:rRNA from 1 species